rnacentral:rRNA from 1 species
GACGAACGCUGGCGGCGUGCUUAACACAUGCAAGUCGAACGGAAAGGCCCUGCUUGCAGGGUGCUCGAGUGGCGAACGGGUGAGUAACACGUGGGUGAUCUGCCCCUUACUUUGGGAUAAGCCUGGGAAACUGGGUCUAAUACUGGACAGGACCAUGCUGUAGGUGGUGUGGUGGAAAGAUUAGUUUCGGUAAGGGAUGAGCUCGCGGCCUAUCAGCUUGUUGGUGGGGUAAUGGCCUACCAAGGCGUCGACGGGUAGCCGGCCUGAGAGGGUGGACGGCCACAUUGGGACUGAGAUACGGCGCAGACUCCUACGGGAGGCAGCAGUGGGGAAUAUUGCACAAUGGGCGCAAGCCUGAUGCAGCGACGCCGCGUGGGGGAUGACGGCCUUCGGGUUGUAAACUCCUUUCAGCCAUGACGAAGCCCUUGUGGUGACGGUAGUGGUAGAAGAAGCACCGGCUAACUACGUG